GACAGAGGUGCCGAGCGUUAGGCGGAAUCACUGGGCUUAAAGCGUGUGUAGGCGGAGUUCUAAGUACCUUGUGAAAUCCCACGGCUUAACCGUGGAACUGCUUGGUAUACUGGUUCUCUUGGGCCAUCUAGGGGCUACUGGAACAAACGGUGGAGCGGUGAAAUGCGUAGAUAUCGUUUGGAACGCCAAUGGUGAAAACAAGUAGCUGGGGAUGUGCCGACGCUGAGACACGAAAGCCAGGGAGCGAACGGGG
rnacentral:rRNA from 1 species